GACGAACGCUGGCGGCGUGCUUAACACAUGCAAGUCGAACGGAAAGGCCCUGCUUUUGUGGGGUGCUCGAGUGGCGAACGGGUGAGUAACACGUGAGAAACCUGCCCUUGACUUUGGGAUAACUUCAGGAAACUGGGGCUAAUACCGGAUAGGAGCACCUGCUGCAUGGUGGGGGUUGGAAAGUUUCGGCGGUUGGGGAUGGACUCGCGGCUUAUCAGCUUGUUGGUGGGGUAGUGGCUUACCAAGGCUUUGACGGGUAGCCGGCCUGAGAGGGUGACCGGCCACAUUGGGACUGAGAUACGGCCCAGACUCCUACGGGAGGCAGCAGUGGGGAAUAUUGCACAAUGGGCGGAAGCCUGAUGCAGCAACGCCGCGUGCGGGAUGACGGCCUUCGGGUUGUAAACCGCUUUCGCCUGUGACGAAGCGUGAGUGACGGUAAUGGGUAAAGAAGCACCGGCUAACUACGUG
rnacentral:rRNA from 1 species